UAAGCUUGCAAUGUUAACAUUGCAGUUUCUAAAAAAAAAACUGCAAUGUUUUACAUUGCAGGGUUA